UGUGCUCAAGAUUGGCUUAGACGCUCAAUUCAACAUGUUGUAGAAGAAGGGAAUGAUGAUAUCCAAAAGAUAGAACUUGAUUUGCAAAAAAUUGCAUUGGAGGCAACCGUUGAUAUACUAUAGUUGCUGGUGACUUGAUGGCAAGUUGUAUGCAAGGAACUUUGGGACAAGUGAUGGCUGGAAUUUCAGGCUGCCUUUUGGAGUUUCAUUUUGGAUUACUCGUUUGAUUU